rnacentral:sRNA from 2 species
UAUCGAACUUCCUAAUCCGAUCGGAAUAUUCUCUUGCUUGGAUGAAGAUUGCGUGAUGCCAAAAGCUACUGAUAAAUCAUUUACUGAAAAACUUCAUUCGUUGUGGGACCGGAAAUCUCCAAAAUAUCGUUCUUCCCGACUAAACCAAGGAUUUAUCCUCACCCACUAUGCCGCCGAAGUGGAGUAUUCCACUGAGGGAUGGCUAGAGAAGAACAAGGAUCCCCUCAACGAUAAUGUCACCCGACUAUUAUCUUCGUCAAGUGAUAAACACAUCGCCAACCUUUUUGCUGACUGGGCUGA